UCCGGUUGAUCCUGCCGGACUCCACUGCUAUCGGGGUAAGGCUAAGCCAUGCAAGUCGAAGGCCUCCGGCUCCGGGGGCCUGGCGUACGGCUGAGUAACGCGUGGCCAACCUGCCCUGCGGAGGGGGAUAACCCCGGGAAACUGGGGAUAAACCCCCAUAGGUGACCGGGUCUGGAAGGACCGGUCGCCGAAAGUCCCGGUCGGGGAUGCUCCGGCCGGGAGCCGCAGGAUGGGGCUGCGUCCUAUCAGGUAGUUGGUGGGGUAACGGCCCACCAAGCCUGUGACGGGUAGGGGCCCUGAGAGGGGGAGCCCCCAGAUGGACUCUGAGACAAGAGUCCAGGCCCUACGGGGCGCAGCAGGCGCGA
rnacentral:rRNA from 1 species